UAUUGGUUGAGCAUGCUAGAGCUUUGAAUUGAUUAUUUGGAACACAUGUUAGUGAUUUCGUUUUUGGGGAAAAGCUUGCGAUUAUGUUGGGAAGCGAAGAUUCAUAUUUUGGAUGAUCAUUUAAGCAUGAUAGAUUAAUUUUCGAAGCAUUAGGGGAGACAUGGUAGAGUUUGUGAGGUUGUGGGGAAGAUUUAGGACCGUUUUAGUGAGCCUGUAGCACGCGUUUUUGUGAACGGGUGCAUCUUGGAGUUAAAUAGGGAUAACGUACAUAAGUUGGAAGUAUCUUUGGGGUAGACGCCUUGAUUUAAGAAAAAGGGAAUUUUGAGAAAGGCGUUAGUGAUAGACGGAUUGAUGGCUUUGAGUUUUGGCAUCUAUUGGCACGGCUAGGAGUGGGAAGUGACCCUAUUGGAGAACUUGUGGGUCGACACUACCCGUCGACACCCUCUUGAGGCGAUGACGCGUGCCUCAAUGACCUUGUUUUGUUUUUGUUUGAAUUGUUGAGGUUUGUAGUAGGAAUCUUAUCUUGUGUUUGUGUCUGCAGGUUCACCGGGUACGUCCCGUCGACCUUGAGUUACCGGAUUCGAAGCUCGAGGCAUUUUGAAGAUUCUUGUGAACGCGCCACAGGUUUUGGUGUACCCGGGGCAGCAGGCUGAGCAGAUGGCUACACUCACGUCCUACUGGGGAGGUUUUGGGUUUUGUUUUGUUCUUGUAGUGCCGGCGCGUCGGGUUUUUGGUUUUACUGAUGCCUUGUUUUUGAUUAGGCAUCGAUGUUGUGAUUUUGGGGCAUUUUUGUCAAAUGUACAAUUGAAUUGAAAUGCUAUAUAAUGGAAAGCUUGCCCCAUUGUUUUGAAUUGUAUGGCUCAUUCCUUUUUGAACUAUUGUGUAGUCACACCUCGAUGUUGGAUGUUAGAAAAAAAAAUGUUUGAGU